rnacentral:lncRNA from 10 species
ACAUACCAAACCAGGUUACCAUGACAUUAUGUGUUGAAACUACUGAUAAAGGUUCAACUGAUUCUUGUGCCUCAGCCUCCCCAAGUAGCUGGGAUUACAGCUACUUUUGCACCACCACGCCCAGCUAAGUUUUGUAUUUUUAGUAGAGACAGGGUUUCACCAUGUUGACUAGGAGCUACUACUACAUUAGAAACGAGAGUCUCAGAAGCCUUAUCUUAGUCAAUAUGCAGAUCUUGGCAGUCACUGAGCUGCUACUUCAGUUUUUUCAUCUGUAAAAAAGCAGCCAAGAGUCCAGGGCACCCACCCCAUGGACACAUUAACUGUGAACACUGCCAGAACCAUUUUUCAAUACUGUAAUUCUCCUCCUGGUCAGUUUUUGCUCCUAGACAGCUGACAACACGUUUCCUUCCAUGGCCUCAGUGUAACUUUUAGAUGAUUCGCUCAAGCUCAUAAACUGACUCAGUCUUACCACCCAACCUCAUUUCUCUCCACCCAUUGCCAGGAUGAAUUCUCACCUGUGGUAAUGCUCUCCAGCUGGAGGCCACCAGGAACACACUGUAUAGGUUGAGUUUACUACUCACAGCCAGGGCAA